UACGUAGGGGGCAAGCGUUAUCCGGAAUUAUUGGGCGUAAAGAGUACGUAGGUGGCAACCUAAGCGCAGGGUUUAAGGCAAUGGCUUAACCAUUGUUCGCCCUGCGAACUGGGAUGCUUGAGUGCAGGAGAGGAAAGCGGAAUUCCUAGUGUAGCGGUGAAAUGCGUAGAUAUUAGGAGGAACACCAGUGGCGAAGGCGGCUUUCUGGACUGUAACUGACACUGAGGUACGAAAGCGUGGGGAGCAAACAGG
rnacentral:rRNA from 1 species